ensembl:snoRNA SNORD42 Small nucleolar RNA SNORD42
UUGCAUAUGAUGGAAAAAUCUGAAUUUCCUGAGACUUACGAUGUCUUCAAAGGAACCACUGAUACAC